AAGUCGUAACAAGGUUUCCGUAGGUGAACCUGCGGAAGGAUCAUUAACACGUUUUAAUACGUCCUUCAACCAACUGUGCAUUCCAUGUAUUGUGGUCAUUUGACUUCAAUAUCUAUUUUUUUUAACUUUUUGCACCCAUCUUAUCACUUUUGCUUCUUGUUUGAUUGUUCUUCAACAAUCACUCGAAUAUUAAUUUAUUUUAAUAGUCGAUACAACUCUUAGCAAUGGAUAUCUUGGUUCUC
rnacentral:misc_RNA from 1 species